rnacentral:pre_miRNA from 1 species
AGUGUGAUUGCUGGGUUGUAUGGUAAGUCUAUGUUUAACUUUAUAAGAAACUGUCAAACUGUCUUUUAAAGUAGCUAUACUAUUUUGCAUUCCCACCAGCAAU